CGCAUCUGUGCAUGCAGCAUAUCAAUAAGCGGAGGAAAAGAAACUAACAAGGAUUCCCUUAGUAACGGCGAGUGAAGCGGGAAGAGCUCAAAUUUGAAAUCUUCAAGGUUUUACCUUGACGAAUUGUAGUUUAAAGAAGUGUUUUCUGCUGAAGUUUUGGUAAAAGUUCUUUGGAAUAGGACAUCAUAGAGGGCGAGAAUCCCGUAUUUGACCUUUACUUUCAACUUUGUGAUACACUUUCAAAGAGUCGGAUUGUUUGGGAAUGCAGUCCAAAAUGGGUGGUAAAUUUCAUCUAAAGCUAAAUAUUGGCGAGAGACCGAUAGCGAACAAGUACCGUGAGGGAAAGAUGAAAAGAACUUUGAAAAGAGAGUUAAACAGUACGUGAAAUUGUCAAAAGGGAAGCGUUUGACACCAGUGUUGUUUUUCUGAAAAUCAAUUAAAGAACUGUUUAUGUUAAGCUGUUUAGACUUUAUCAGCUGACUGUUUAGUUUUGAGCUUUUCUUUAAUGCACUUUUCAGUUAACAAGUCAACAUCAAUUUCUUUUGCUGUAAAAAAGCUUGAGGAAGGUGGCUUGAGAUUCGUCUUAAGUGUUUAUAGCCUCUUGCCUAUGCAGUCGGAGAGAUUGAGGUCUGCAGCGUAGAUCCUUCGGGGCUAAAUGCAUUUGUGCUAAGUUAUAGCAUUUUAUAGACAACUUGUUGACUAUGAUUUGUCUUGUAGCUUACUCGCUUAUGUUAUUUUACCUACGCUUAGGAUGUUGAUAGUCACAGCGUGUAC
rnacentral:rRNA from 1 species